AUUGAACGCUGGCGGCGUGCUUAACACAUGCAAGUCGAUCGGUAACAGGUGUAGCAAUACAUGCUGACGAGAGGCGGACGGGUGAGGAACGCUUGGGAAUCUGCCUAUCAGCGGGGGACAACCCGGGGAAACCCGGGCUAAUACCGCAUACGCUCUACGGAGGAAAGCCGGGGACCGCAAGGCCUGGCACUGAUAGAUGAGCCCAAGUCGGAUUAGCUAGUUGGCGGGGUAACGGCCCACCAAGGCGACGAUCCGUAGCUGGUCUGAGAGGACGAUCAGCCACACCGGAACUGAGACACGGUCCGGACUCCUACGGGAGGCAGCAGUGGGGAAUAUUGGACAAUGGGCGAAAGCCUGAUCCAGCGACGCCGCGUGGGUAAAGAAGGCCUGCGGGUUGUAAAGCCCUUUCGGUAGGGACGAAAGCUCUCGACCUAACACGUCGGGAGGUUGACUUAACCUACAAAAGAAGCACCGGCUAGCUCUGUGCCAGCAGCCGCCGUAAUAC
rnacentral:rRNA from 1 species